AACGAACGCUGGCGGCAGGCUUAACACAUGCAAGUCGAACGGACCCUUCGGGGUUAGUGGCAGACGGGUGAGUAACGCGUGGGAACCUACCUAUAAGUACGGAACAACACAGAGAAAUUUGUGCUAAUACCGUAUGUGCUCUUUUGAGUAAAGAUUUAUCGCUUAUAGAUGGGCCCGCGUUAGAUUAGCUAGUUGGUGAGGUAACGGCUCACCAAGGCGACGAUCUAUAGCUGGUCUGAGAGGAUGAUCAGCCACACUGGGACUGAGACACGGCCCAGACUCCUACGGGAGGCAGCAGUGAGGAAUAUUGGACAAUGGGCAAAGCCUGAUCCAGCCAUGCCGCGUGGGUGAAGAAGGCCCCUAGGGUUGUAAACCCCUUUCAGCGGGGAAGAUAAUGACGGUACCCGCAGAAGAAGCCCCCGGCU
rnacentral:rRNA from 1 species